AGUGAACGCUGGCGGUAGGCCUAACACAUGCAAGUCGAACGGCAGCACAGUAAGAGCUUGCUCUUACGGGUGGCGAGUGGCGGACGGGUGAGGCAUACAUCGGAAUCUACUUUUUCGUGGGGGAUAACGUAGGGAAACUUACGCUAAUACCGCAUACUAUCUACGGGUUAAAGCAGGGGAUCUUCGGACCUUUCGCGAUUGAAUGAGCCGGUGCCGGAUUAGCUAGUUGGCGGGGUAAAGGCCCACCAAGGCGACGAUCCGUAGCUGGUCUGAGAGGAUGAUCAGCCACACUGGAACUGAGACACGGUCCAGACUCCUACGGGAGGCAGCAGUAGGGAAUAUUCGGCAAUGGGCGCAAGCCUGAUCCAGCCAUACCGCGUGAGUGAAGAAGGCCUUCGGGUUGUAAAGCCCUUUUGUUAGGAAAGAAAAGCAGCAGAUUAAUACCCCGCUGUUCUGACGGUACCCAAAGAAUAAGCACCGGCUAACUUCGUG
rnacentral:rRNA from 1 species